UGGGGAAUAUUGGACAAUGGGCGAAAGCCUGAUCCAGCCAUGCCGCGUGUGUGAAGAAGGUCUUCGGAUUGUAAAGCACUUUAAGUUGGGAGGAAGGGCAGUAAGCGAAUACCUUGCUGUUUUGACGUUACCGACAGAAUAAGCACCGGCUAACUCUGUGCCAGCAGCCGCGGUAAUACAGAGGGUGCAAGCGUUAAUCGGAAUUACUGGGCGUAAAGCGCGCGUAGGUGGUUCGUUAAGUUGAAUGUGAAAGCCCCGGGCUCAACCUGGGAACUGCAUCCAAAACUGGCGAGCUAGAGUAGGGCAGAGGGUGGUGGAAUUUCCUGUGUGGCGGUGAAAUGCGUAGAUAUAGGAAAGAACACCAGUGGCGAAGGCGACCACCUGGGCUCAUACUGACACUGAGGUGCGAAAGCGUGGGGAGCAAACAGG
rnacentral:rRNA from 1 species